rnacentral:rRNA from 1 species
CAGCAGCCGCGGUAAAACGAAGGGGGCUAGCGUUGUUCGGAAUUACUGGGCGUAAAGGGCGCGUAGGCGGCCAUUCAAGUUAGAUGUGAAAGCCCUGGGCUCAACCUAGGAAUUGCAUUUGAUACUGUUUGGCUUGAGUUCGGGAGAGGUGAGUGGAAUUCCCAGUGUAGAGGUGAAAUUCGUAGAUAUUGGGAAGAACACCAGUGGCGAAGGCGGCUCACUGGACCGACGCUGACGCUGAGGCGCGAAAGCGUGGGGGGCAAACAGGAUUAGAUACCCGAGUAGUCCCUGUCUCUUAUAC